UUAAUUAAUAACUGAUGAUUACAGAUUACCAUAAAUGUAUGAGUUUGGCUUUUGAAUUAUAUUGUGAUUGCUUUGUUUUACUUACAUUUAAAACGUACACAAUAUAAGAAAUUGAACUGUGGGAUCCUGAUUCUUUCUUUUCAAUCAAAUUCAGUUAAACCUGGGGUACGAUUCCGUGAGAUUGGUGAAGUUAUUAGUCGCCAUGCAUCAAUGUCUGGCUUCUCAGUGGCAAGAUCAUAUUGUGGUCAUGGAAUUGGUGAGCUCUUCCAUUGUGCACCAAACAUCCCUCAUUAUGCGAG